rnacentral:rRNA from 1 species
GACGGGCCCGCACAAGCAGCGGAGCGUGUGGUUUAAUUCGAUGUUACACGAAGAACCUUACCAGGUUGACAUGCAAGUGGUAGGAAGCCGAAAGGUGACCGACCCUUCGGGGAGCUUGCACAGGUGCUGCAUGGCUGUCGUCAGCUCGUGUCGUGAGGAUGUUCGGUUAAGUCCGCUAACGAGCGCAACCCUCGCUGUGUGUUAUAUGUGUCACACGGGACUGCCGGUCUUAAGCCGGAGGAAGGUGGGGAUGAUGUCAAGUCAGCAUGGCCUUUAUGUCCGGGGCUACACACACGCUACAAUGGCCGGUACAAUAGGUAGCAAGACCGCGAGGUGGAGCCAAUCCUUAAAGCCGGUCUCAGUUCGGAUUGUAGGCUGCAACUCGCCUACAUGAAGUCGGAAUCGCUAGUAAUCGCGGAUCAGCACGCCGCGGUGAAUACGUUCCCGGGCCUU